CGAAGUCGGUGAGGUAACCUUUUAGGAGCCAGCCGCCUAAGGUGGGAUAGAUGAUUGGGGUGAAGUCGUAACAAGGUAGCCGUAUCGGAAGGUGCGGCUGGAUCACCUCCUUU
rnacentral:rRNA from 1 species